UUGCCUCCAUUUCCUAUCCAAUCCUAAUCAAACAUUCAUUUACCUUUAAUUGUGAGCUUCUUCUCCUGGGAUUGGAAGUGAGGGAUAGAUAGAAAGAUGAAGCUUAUAAAAAAGGUAUGCCGGGACUAUGUUUUUGUUGGUGAAUCUAGUGACUUCUCGACCCUUUGACUCACUUCCAAUAUUAUAAAAACCGGCUCGGACCUGCCGGUUUUACGGUGAACCAGGUAUCUGAUUGAUCUCAAUCGCUCCUCCGGUCGGUCUUGUGUCAAAACCGGGACGACUCGGUUUAAGUCUAAAAUCGGUCAUUGAUGGGACUGGUUGAGUUAAUCACUUUUUUAAGCUCCAAAAGGAAGUUGUGACGGAAAAAAUAUGUUAUUUAAACUUAUUUGUAGUUAUGUUUGUCAUUUGUUAUGUUGUAACAAAAUUUUAGUUGUUUAAUUAAGUUUUAAACUUAUUCUUGGAGUAAGUGGAUCCCCUCCCUAAACUUAAUUGUGCACUUUUGUUGUGAUUA